UGCAAGUCGAGCGGCAGCGCGGGGGCAACCCUGGCGGCGAGCGGCGAACGGGUGAGUAAUGUAUCGGAACGUACCCAGUCGUGGGGGAUAACUAUCCGAAAGGAUAGCUAAUACCGCAUACGUCCUGAGGGAGAAAGCGGGGGACCGUAAGGCCUCGCGCGAUUGGAGCGGCCGAUAUCGGAUUAGCUAGUUGGUGAGGUAAAGGCUCACCAAGGCGACGAUCCGUAGCUGGUCUGAGAGGACGACCAGCCACACUGGAACUGAGACACGGUCCAGACUCCUACGGGAGGCAGCAGUGGGGAAUUUUGGACAAUGGGGGCAACCCUGAUCCAGCCAUUCCGCGUGAGUGAAGAAGGCCUUCGGGUUGUAAAGCUCUUUCAGCAGGAACGAAACGGUGGCUACUAAUACUAGCUACUAAUGACGGUACCUGAAGAAGAAGCACCGGCUAACUACGUGCCAGCAGCCGCGGUAAUACGUAGGGUGCGAGCGUUAAUCGGAAUUACUGGGCGUAAAGCGUGCGCAGGCGGUUCC
rnacentral:rRNA from 1 species